CCUGUGGAAAAAAAAAAAAAAAAAACCACCACCCAACACGCCACCCCCUACGGCAGGAAUUCCUUCACAGCGUCACCCAGCAAAUGCCCCUUUUGUCCGCCAACCGCGGGCCAGGCGGUGCAGCUGUGCCCGAAAGCGGGCACGCGGCGGCCUCAGCGCGGCCCUGCCAAAGUCCUGCGGAGCCACGUUCCAACAUGGAUGUGGCAACGCCCGCCGGACGGGCAGGCGGCCCCGGGCCUGGCGGCCUGCGGUGGGCCACUGUCCUCCACGGGGGUGCCCGGGGCCUCUCCUCCCCCCUGAAAAGAGUGCGGUUCUGCGGCUGCGGGGGAAGCCGCUCUGCUUGCAACCCAGCCGGGGGGCCGUCUGCCGUACCCCGCCUCGGUGGGCCUGCCGGAACAGCUUCGACCACAUUUUCUUUUCCUGGAAAGAGAGCCUUGACUCGCGCCACGGCUCUACCGGCACCAUGGCUGCUCACCGCCCUGGGCGAUCCAAGGCAUGCUCGGCAUGGGGACCGAGAGCGUCCGUACCAAAAUCCCCGUCGCCACCUUUAAUGGUUGCGCGUGAUCCACGCGCAAGAGCAAAGGGAGAAUAAAUGGAGCCCGUAGCCUGCCUUAUUGAUGAGAUACGCAUAAAUGGCUUUGUCAUGCAAAUGUGGCUCUAAGCCACUUUCAUAUAAAGCCAGCUUAAUACUGAAUAGCCAGUGAUCCUCGCUCGUCCGUUAGGCAGCGCCUGCCCUGUCCUUGGAGCAACGGAAAUGAAGACAUUGGUGCAGAUGUUUGCUCCCUGCCUGCAUACCGAAUUGGUAUGACCUUACGGCACAGAAAGAAGUCUUCCUACCUGCCCCAAAGCCUGUCGUCCGCGCUUGGUAUUAACUUUCAACAACAGCCAGCAGAGUGUGCUCUGAACGCUGUGAAAAGGACGUCCUGCUACUGACUGGGAGGGGUCAAUCUGACGGCGCAGUCACAGCACGAUAUUCUCCCCAGCUCUGCUUCUGACCAGAAUGAACCAAAUCCAGUGCUUCUGACUUUCAUGGUCAUGAGAAGGACAUCGGGCUGAACGGGUUCUUCAUCCAAGGCAGUACACCCCCUUCCUCUGUAUUCACGGAGAAUCACGCUGUAACUGCUACUUAAACACCUGGAGCCACAUAGUAGCAACAAGAGAAACAGAGUUGGUGAAAUCCUGGCAACUUCUGAUGGAUUCAUUAACUUUUACCUUUGUGUCUACCGAAGUCUGCAAGUGCCUGUGCAAAUCACCUGAAUCAUCCAUGGACUUGGACCGUUCAUCUGCACUAGCCACUCCAUCUCUUCUCUGAGCAAUGUAAUUUUUCAUGGUACAUUCAAAAGCACUGGAAUGCUUUAUCCCAAUUUCUUUGUUUUCUGAUUCUGUCCCUUCUGUUGUCCAGACGAGUGGUCUUCUGCAACAUUUUAGUGCUGUGACGUACAACUUCAGUGUCUGCCCUAAUACCCUGAUAAUUUAAAUACUUCCCUUUUUUCUUUCAUCAUUUCAUUAAUUCACUUGAUACUGUGCAACUUGCUUUCUUGCCACUUCUUACCUUUCCCAAAGUGAUUGGUCAGAAUUACACAUUGCAGUAAACUUCUGUACAACAUAAAAUCAUCUUAACUUGGACAGAAUCCUGGUUGCAAAGUUCCUCACACAGGACAUUGAUUCUCUUGACUGAUAUGUUUAUGUGGCAAAUCCCAGAGGACCCACCCAGUAAGUAGUAUGUUUUCAUGGUAGCAGAUAACAAGAACUUUACUUACUAACUUAAUCACAGAAUAUAAUGAUUAAAUGAAGACCAGUGUGGUACUAAUAUGAUAUGGCAAAUUCUUGUGCUGUGGUACUUGUCUAGGAGGUGUGUUUGGAAAUUAAAUGCAGACAAAGCAUGCUUGCUGGCUACUUGGCAUUCAAGCUAUUCUUCCUAAUCUUUUGCUUCUGGAAAGACUCAGUCCAUCUGUCCCCUACCUUUGACAGUUUCUGAUGCUAUAACUCCUGCUUAGUCUAACUAAAGCUAACUUGACUGAAGCUGCUGUAAUUUACUCAUAGAUUCCAGCCUAGUUCUAUGUUCUAUCCUAUGUUCUGAUUCUGUCUUUAUGUUUAAUGAUUAUAAGAUACUAAUUUCUGUAUUAUCUUGUAGUAAAUUCUAUACUUAGGUGUCUUUAAAAAGUUGUCAUUAAAUGGGAAGUCUACAUGUUCCAUGAUUGCUUCAGAGAACUGCAUCGGAUCUGUAAAUACCAGUAAAUCAUGAGUCCCUUUUACAGUAGCCACAUUGCUUUCUUUUCAACAGAUCUUUAUGCAGCUGUACAUUAAUUCCAUUCUCUGUUACAGUUUCUGCUAAGGUCUCUGGAAUAGAGACCAGACUUACUGCUCUGUCACUUUUUUGUAUCCUUCCUGAGGGUUUCCUUGACAAUUUUGAAAAUUGGAAAUAAAACAAUUAUCU